rnacentral:rRNA from 1 species
CAUGCAUGUCUAAGUACAAACUAUUUUAAAAGUGAAACCGCAAAAGGCUCAUUAUAUCAGUUAUGGUUUAUUAGAUCAUUAACAGUUACUUGGAUAACUGUGGUAAUUCUAGAGCUAAUACAUGCAAUAUAAACAUGAACCGUAUGGAACAUGUGCUCUUAUUAGUCUAAAACCAAGCGAUUUUUUUUAAAAAUCGUUAUAAUGGUUGAACUCUAGAUAAUUUGCCAAUCGUAUGGUCUUGUACCGACGAUAGAUCUUUUAAAUGUCUGCCCUAUCAACUAUUGAUGGUAGUAUUUAGGACUACCAUGGUUGCAACGGGUAACGGGGAAUCAGGGUUCGAUUCCGGAGAGGGAGCCUGAGAAACAGCUACCACAUCUAAGGAAAGCA